CCACCGAUAGCUCAGUUGGUAGAGCGGAGGACUGUAGAUGAUUAUCGCAUAGCAGAGAUCCUUAGGUCACUGGUUCAAAUCCGGUUCGGUGGA
rnacentral:tRNA from 1 species